UACGGAGGGGGCUAGCGUUGUUCGGAAUUACUGGGCGUAAAGCGCGCGUAGGCGGCUUUGUAAGUUAGAGGUGAAAGCCCGGAGCUCAACUCCGGAAUUGCCUUUAAGACUGCAUCGCUAGAAUCAUGGAGAGGUGAGUGGAAUUCCGAGUGUAGAGGUGAAAUUCGUAGAUAUUCGGAAGAACACCAGUGGCGAAGGCGGCGAUCUGGGUCGGUACUGACGCUGAGGUGCGAAAGCGUGGGGAGCAAACAGG
rnacentral:rRNA from 1 species